rnacentral:misc_RNA from 1 species
GCACACUUGUCAUUUUUAUAUCUCCACCUGUGCCCUUUUGUANACCUUUACAGUCUAUGUUGCUUUCAUUUACCACCNNGUAUGUCAAUAGAANGUUGUGACUAUNAAAUUAUACAACUUUCAGCANCGGAUCUCUUGGCUCUCGCAUCNAUGAAGAACGCAUCGAAUGCNAUAAGUAAUGUGAAUUGCAGAAUUCAGUGAAUCAUCGAAUCUUUGAACGCACCUUGCGCUCCUUGGUAUUCCNAGNAGCAUGCCUGUUUGAGUGUCAUUAAUAUAUAUAUCACCCUCUUUUGUUGAGNGNUUGGAUNUGANGGUUUGCUGGAUUCUUAAAAAAUUCACUCCC